AGCAGGCGGGGUUAUCGCUGGUUUUUUUUAAACGAGAGGAAAGUCCGGGCACCACAGGUCAGAAUGCUGGAUAACGUCCAGGCGGCGCAAGCCGACGGAAAGUGCAACAGAGAGUAGACAGCCUUAGGCUUUUUAAGCUUUGUCUAAGCACUCUAACAUUUGUUGGGUGUUUGGAAGGUGAUGGUGAAACGGUGCGGUAAGAGCGCACCACCAAACUGGCAACAGUAUUGGGUUUGGUAAACCCCAUUCGGUGCAAACGCAAAUAGGUUCUUCGUCCUUAUUUAAAGGUAAGUGUGACCUGCAUGAGAAAGAACGGGUAGCGUGCUUGAGCUUGUCAGCAAUGGCAAGACUAGAUGAAUGAUAACCGCCUUGGCGUAAGCCAAGAGCACAGAACCCGGCUUACAAGCCUGCUGC
rnacentral:RNase_P_RNA from 1 species